GGUAUAAUUGAUGGGUUGCAUGAUAAGUGUGUGUUUAGUUUUUUAAGAAACCACCAUACUAUUUUCCAGAGUGGCUGUAACAUUAUAUGUUCCCAUACCAUCAAC
rnacentral:pre_miRNA from 1 species